CUCCGCUCCGCGGCCUCGGCCGGGCCCAGCGGCCAAUCCAGGGCCCGGGGAGAGCGGCCCGGACAGCGGAGCGGAGGGAAGCCACAGCCAGGCGAGGCCUUCGGUCCUGGCGGACACCCCCGUGGCCGGAGCGCGACAGUGGCCAGGAGGGAGGGGCGAGAAAACCCGUCGUUGUGCGGUCUCUAUCCCGCUCGGAGAGCUUCGAAAUCCGCACGCCCCGGAAUCCCGAGCGGGAUCCUGUCAAAAACAGAUUUCUGGGCGCCGCUCUGGGACUCCAGUUGAGGGGAGCUGAGGCGGGGCCCGGGAACCCACAUUUCGGAUGAAACCGCCCUCCCGCUGCGUGAUUGUAGCGUCCGCCUGUUUCCGAGGCCCACUGUGCCCCUAGGCUCCUCCGGGCAGGAAUUACUACUCACUUGUACCGGUUUUUCGGACUUGAGCUUUGCCCAAGGUUAAGAUUCCACCUCCCUAAAGGCGAAUAAAACAAGGAACGAAUGGAGAUUUGAAAAGUCAUUGCCACAAUGAAACAGGUUAUUCAUGCAAAAGAUUUAAAAAAUCCAAAAUUGUCAAAGAG
rnacentral:lncRNA from 1 species